AACGAACGCUGGCGGCAUGCCUAACACAUGCAAGUCGAACGAAGCCUUCGGGCUUAGUGGCGCACGGGUGCGUAACGCGUGGGAAUCUGCCCCUUGCUUCGGAAUAACAGUUAGAAAUGACUGCUAAUACCGGAUGAAGUCUUCGGACCAAAGAUUUAUCGGCAAGGGAUGAGCCCGCGUAGGAUUAGGUAGUUGGUGGGGUAAAGGCCUACCAAGCCGACGAUCCUUGGCUGGUCUGAGAGGAUGAUCAGCCACACUGGGACUGAGACACGGCCCAGACUCCUACGGGAGGCAGCAGUGGGGAAUAUUGGACAAUGGACGCAAGUCUGAUCCAGCAAUGCCGCGUGAGUGAUGAAGGCCUUAGGGUUGUAAAGCUCUUUUACCAGGGAUGAUAAUGACAGUACCUGGAGAAUAAGCUCCGGCUAACUCCGUG
rnacentral:rRNA from 1 species